GAACUACCCACCCCACAGAGACCCCAAUAUGACAGGGUAGAACUUCCCACCCCACAGAGACCCCAUAUGACAGGGUAGAACUACCUACCCUAUAGACUCUGUAGUAUAGAGCUUCCUCCACCACUUGUCCAUCGGUUUGUCACACGGUGGUGGCGUGUGUGUGUGUGGCCGUGGUGCUGGAAGCUAAGUCACUGGUAUUACAAACGCCAGCAGGGUCACCCAACGUGAACUGGGCUGUCCACUUCUGUGGGAUCAGCCGCUGAAAAUCCUCCCAGAGGCAGAACACUGUCAGCGAUGGUGCCAGAAAUGAGCCCCCUCGGCUUGGGAGGCACUCAACAUAGAUGCACAGCCCCGGGGCCGGAUCCUGGGGGGCCGCGAGGCCGCGUCCCACGCGCGGCCCUACAUGGCGUCGGUGCAGGUGAAUGGCAGGCACCUGUGUGGCGGCUUCCUGGUGUCCGAGCAGUGGGUGCUGAGCGCCGCGCACUGUCUAGAGGAUGCAGAAGGCGGGAAGGUGCAGGUGCUCCUGGGCGCACACUC